GACAGAGGGUGCAAACGUUGUUCGGAAUUACUGGGCGUAAAGGGUGCGUAGGCGGCUAUUCAAGUCAGGCGUGAAAGCCCCGGGCUCAACCUGGGAGGUGCGCUUGGGACUGGGUGGCUGGAGUUCGGGAGAGGAGAGUGGAAUUCCCAGUGUAGAGGUGAAAUUCGUAGAUAUUGGGAAGAACACCGGUGGCGAAGGCGGCUCUCUGGACCGAGACUGACGCUGAGGCGCGAAAGCGUGGGGAGCAAACAGG
rnacentral:rRNA from 1 species